rnacentral:rRNA from 1 species
GAUGAACGCUAGCGAUAGGCCUAACACAUGCAAGUCGAGGGGUAGCACAGAGUAGCAAUACUUGGGUGACGACCGGCGCACGGGUGAGUAACACGUAUGCAACCUACCUAUAACAGGGAGAUAACCCGGAGAAAUCCGGACUAAUACCCCAUAACACAGGGAUGCCGCAUGGCAAUAUUUGUUAAAGAUUAAUCGGUUAUAGAUGGGCAUGCGUUCCAUUAGCCAGUUGGUGAGGUAACGGCUCACCAAAGCAACGAUGGAUAGGGGAACUGAGAGGUUUGUCCCCCACACUGGGACUGAGACACGGACCAGACUCCUACGGGAGGCAGCAGUGAGGAAUAUUGGUCAAUGGGCGAGAGCCUGAACCAGCCAAAUCGCGUGAAGGAAGACUGCCCUACGGGUUGUAAACUUCUUUUAUAGGGGAAUAAAAAAGGGAACGAGUUCCCUAUUGUAUGUACCCUAUGAAUAAGCAUCGGCUAACUCCGUGCCAGCAGCCGCCGUAAUAC